AAUAUUGCACAAUGGGCGAAAGCCUGAUGCAGCAACGCCGCGUGAGGGAUGACGGCCUUCGGCUUGUAAACCUCUGUUAGUAGGGAAGAAGCGAACGUGACGGUACCUGCAGAAUAAGCCCCGGCUAACUACGUGCUAGCAGCCGCGGUAAUACGUAGGGUGCAAGCGUUGUCCGUAAUUCUUGGGCGUAAAGAGCUCGUAGGGGGCUUGUCGCGUCUGCCGUGAAGACCGAGGGCUCAACCCUGGGCGUGCGGUGGGUACGGGCAGGCUAGAGUGCGGUAGGGGAGAUUGGAAUUCCUGGUGUAGCGGUGGAAUGAGCAGAUAUCAGGAGGAACACCGAUGGCGAAGGCAGAUCUCUGGGCCGUAACUGACGCUGAGGAGCGAAAGCAUGGGGAGCGAACA
rnacentral:rRNA from 1 species